ensembl:snRNA U1 U1 spliceosomal RNA
AUAUUUACCUUCCAGGGAUGAUACCAUGAUUCCAAAGGUGAUUUCCCCAGAACAAGGCUCAUCCACUGCACUCCAGAUGUGCUGACCCCUGCAAUUUCCCCAAAUGUGGGAAACUCAACUGCACAAUUUGUGAUACUGACAGUGUUUACUCUGUUA